ACGCCCUUAGAGUUUGAUCCUGGCUCAGGAUGAACGCUGGCGGCGUGCCUAACACAUGCAAGUCGAACGAAGCACCUUACCUGAUUCUUCGGAUGAAAGUUUGGUGACUGAGUGGCGGACGGGUGAGUAACGCGUGGGUAACCUGCCCUGUACAGGGGGAUAACAGCUGGAAACGGCUGCUAAUACCGCAUAAGCGCACGAGGAGACAUCUCCUUGUGUGAAAAACUCCGGUGGUACAGGAUGGGCCCGCGUCUGAUUAGCUGGUUGGCAGGGUAACGGCCUACCAAGGCAACGAUCAGUAGCCGGUCUGAGAGGAUGAACGGCCACAUUGGAACUGAGACACGGUCCAAACUCCUACGGGAGGCAGCAGUGGGGAAUAUUGCACAAUGGGGGAAACCCUGAUGCAGCAACGCCGCGUGAGUGAAGAAGUAUUUCGGUAUGUAAAGCUCUAUCAGCAGGGAAGAUAAUGACGGUACCUGACUAAGAAGCUCCGGCUAAAUACGUGCCAGCAGCCGCGGUAAUACGUAUGGAGCAAGCGUUAUCCGGAUUUACUGGGUGUAAAGGGUGCGUAGGUGGCAGUGCAAGUCAGAUGUGAAAGGCCGGGGCUCAACCCCGGAGCUGCAUUUGAAACUGCAUAGCUAGAGUACAGGAGAGGCAGGCGGAAUUCCUAGUGUAGCGGUGAAAUGCGUAGAUAUUAGGAGGAACACCAGUGGCGAAGGCGGCCUGCUGGACUGUUACUGACACUGAGGCACGAAAGCGUGGGG
rnacentral:rRNA from 1 species